AAUGCACAAUUUCUAAUGUAUGCCAAGAUACACCUACUUGAGCCUCAAGAACCUCUUGGAAAACCCUAAAAGUAUCCUGAAAGUAGUAUAAGAUAGAAAGAUGGAUAGACAGAUGUUAGAUAGAAAAUAAAUAAGGACACUUUCCCAGAUGGAGUGUACCCUUGUUUCUCUUCUCCUUACAGCUGGGAGCAGCCACUUCUUUGUCACUUAUAGCAAGUCAUUCUCCUUCCUUUUAGCCACUAUAUAGCAGCAGCAGCAGCACCCUUUUCAUGACUUGACAGCUGUCUAGUGGGAAAGGUUUGGACAAGGUGGAAUGGACUUUUUCACUCUGCCCAAAAUAAAGUAUAUGCAUUCAUAUAUUACAAGCAACAGGAUUUCAGCAUCCAUGCCCACACACUACCAAACAAUAACCUUGAGAAGCCUUACUUUUCAUUUUAACUUUGGCCCACUCUGUCUGAACUAUUAAUACAUUUUGCAUUCAAGCAUGAAGCAUUUUAUAUGUCAGAUUGAGUCUCUGUUUGUCAAAGUAGUUGGGAUAUAAAUAAAAAUAAUCCUGCUCCUGCUCCUCUUCCUCCCCCCCCCCCAUCAACUCAAAUCAAGGUGUACAAUUCCUAAGGCUGAUAAAGUUGUUUUGGCAUCGGAGUUGAAAGUCCCACAAGCACCACUUAUCUGAGAAUAAACAUAUUAUGCAAUAAUACAGUAUAUUAGAUACUUAAUGCAUAUCUCUGUCUCCAGGCAUCUGGGGGCUGAAAGGGAGGUUGUCGGUGAGAGUUUGAAGAGAUUGUGUGUUAUGGUUGAGCCUUAUGGCUCCAAUACUGGGAGACGUGGUCGUAAGACUCCUCGAGAGUCAGACUCUCUUGAGGAGCGAGAGAGGAAACAGCUGCGGGACUUAUUUGCAGAACCAUCUGACGAAGACUCCUUUGAGGGUUUUACCGAGAGAAUGGAGGAAGAGGUGGUUAGCUCAGAGGAGGAUGACAUGGAAUGGACUCGUGUAAGGGAGGAUUUGGGUGUUCCUGGUAAUGAUGGCAUGGGAAGCGACUGGCGGGUUGCAGGAUCGGACCCGUGGACGAGUUGGAGGGAUGGGACGGGAUCCACAGCUGGGGAUGCUGUGGGGCGUAGUCAAAGAUGUUUCAGCUCUGAUGAGGAUGAGGAUGAUGAGGCACCUGGAAUUAGGGUAACAGCUGAUAGUGAUGAGGAGUUGUAACUGGCAUAAAAUGGGGUCUUGAAUCCAGGGCUAAUUGCGUUGGGCAAGGUAAUCUGGACGAACGCUUGGGCUCUUGUUGGGAAUUUCCUGAAGACGGGUGUGUUUCGUUUGCUGAAUACCUUGGACCUCCGUCGUCUUCUUGACGGACAUUGUUUACCUACUCUGGAUUGACGCUGGACUGACUGACUGACUACGACCUUGGACUAUCCUUUCUGUGGCUAUCGGUGGAAUUCGUGGAACCUUAGACGCCUGCACCUGGCUAUCGACCUCGGACCGGAUUGGGACCCCGCUGACCGCUGCAACCCUGAUUGAUGUGUUUGGACCCGGAGUUCGCCCGCUGCACGGAGGAGUAACAACUUAGUUACUCAACCACAGCUGCUGAGUAGCAGAGAGGAAUCUGCUGCCAGUAUUUAUGUUUUAUUGAAUCUUUGUUUACCAGCUUUUGUUUGUUAAAAGUGCCAGGCUGAAAUAAGCAUUUUUGGUUUAACCCGGAUUAAACUCCUGUUUAAUCCGGUUUAUCUUUUGAACCGUUUUUGAGUGACUUUUCAUAUUGAAGGCGAGUGUUUGCCUAGCCCUUUGUUUUUUACGAGCAUUUUUUGGUUCUGUAUCUUUAAUAAACUGUGUUGAAUCUUAUCUGGUGGCGUUCUGUCUGUGACAUUGUGAGUUUUAAAUAUAAUUUUAAUUGUAUUGAUUGGAUUUUAAACUGUAUUUUAACUUCAGAUCUAUAACACAAAUAUCCAAAUGUUGUUUUUUGCAUUUGCCUUGUUUUAAAUUUUUAUUGAAUUGUGUCAUGUUAUUGUUAGCCAUCCUGAGUUCCUAUGGGGAGAAAAGUGGGACAGAAAUAAAGAUGAUGAUGGUAAUGAUAAUUUCUCCCUUCCAUAACACUUAGCAUUAAUUGUGCUGGUUGGUACUUCUGGGCCCAAAUUCCUAAACACCUGGAAGCUCAAAAGUCUGCCAACCCUGGCUUGACCUGAAGACAUUCUCAACUUAUUCCCCAAGACUGUUAUUUAUACAGAAACUAAAAUGACCAAGCUACACUGCUUAGUACUUGGAUGGGAGACAACCAAUGAAUACCAGAUGUUGUGGGCUUUAUUUUGGAGGAAGAAAAUGGCAGAACCACCUCAGAUUAUUCCUUGCCUAAGAAAACUCUAUGAAAAUCAUAGCGGUCAUUAUAAAUAAAUAGUUGACUUUGAAACAUA